rnacentral:rRNA from 1 species
GGGUUGUGAGGUUAAGCGACUAAGCGUACACGGUGGAUGCCCUGGCAGUCAGAGGCGAUGAAGGACGUGCUAAUCUGCGAUAAGCGUCGGUGAGGUGAUAUGAACCGUUAUAACCGGCGAUUUCCGAAUGGGGAAACCCAGUGUGUUUCGACACACUAUCAUUAACUGAAUCCAUAGGUUAAUGAGGCGAACCGGGGGAACUGAAACAUCUAAGUACCCCGAGGAAAAGAAAUCAACCGAGAUUCCCCCAGUAGCGGCGAGCGAACGGGGAGGAGCCCAGAGCCUGAAUCAGUGUGUGUGUUAGUGGAAGCGUCUGGAAAGGCGCGCGAUACAGGGUGACAGCCCCGUACACAAAAAUGCACAUACUGUGAGCUCGAUGAGUAGGGCGGGACACGUGGUAUCCUGUCUGAAUAUGGGGGGACCAUCCUCCAAGGCUAAAUACUCCUGACUGACCGAUAGUGAACCAGUACCGUGAGGGAAAGGCGAAAAGAACCCCGGCGAGGGGAGUGAAAAAGAACCUGAAACCGUGUACGUACAAGCAGUGGGAGCCUCUUAAUGGGGUGACUGCGUACCUUUUGUAUAAUGGGUCAGCGACUUAUAUUCUGUAGCAAGGUUAACCGAAUAGGGGAGCCGAAGGGAAACCGAGUCUUAACUGGGCGUUAAGUUGCAGGGUAUAGACCCGAAACCCGGUGAUCUAGCCAUGGGCAGGUUGAAGGUUGGGUAACACUAACUGGAGGACCGAACCGACUAAUGUUGAAAAAUUAGCGGAUGACUUGUGGCUGGGGGUGAAAGGCCAAUCAAACCGGGAGAUAGCUGGUUCUCCCCGAAAGCUAUUUAGGUAGCGCCUCGUGAAUUCAUCUCCGGGGGUAGAGCACUGUUUCGGCAAGGGGGUCAUCCCGACUUACCAACCCGAUGCAAACUGCGAAUACCGGAGAAUGUUAUCACGGGAGACACACGGCGGGUGCUAACGUCCGUCGUGAAGAGGGAAACAACCCAGACCGCCAGCUAAGGUCCCAAAGUCAUGGUUAAGUGGGAAACGAUGUGGGAAGGCCCAGACAGCCAGGAUGUUGGCUUAGAAGCAGCCAUCAUUUAAAGAAAGCGUAAUAGCUCACUGGUCGAGUCGGCCUGCGCGGAAGAUGUAACGGGGCUAAACCAUGCACCGAAGCUGCGGCAGCGACACUAUGUGUUGUUGGGUAGGGGAGCGUUCUGUAAGCCUGUGAAGGUGGCCUGUGAGGGUUGCUGGAGGUAUCAGAAGUGCGAAUGCUGACAUAAGUAACGAUAAAGCGGGUGAAAAGCCCGCUCGCCGGAAGACCAAGGGUUCCUGUCCAACGUUAAUCGGGGCAGGGUGAGUCGACCCCUAAGGCGAGGCCGAAAGGCGUAGUCGAUGGGAAACAGGUUAAUAUUCCUGUACUUGGUGUUACUGCGAAGGGGGGACGGAGAAGGCUAUGUUGGCCGGGCGACGGUUGUCCCGGUUUAAGCGUGUAGGCUGGU